rnacentral:rRNA from 1 species
CAGUACCGUGAGGGAAAGGCGAAAAGAACCCCGGCGAGGGGAGUGAAACAGAACCUGAAACCGUGUACGUACAAGCAGUGGGAGCCUUCGUAAGAGGGUGACUGCGUACCUUUUGUAUAAUGGGUCAGCGACUUAUAUUCUGUAGCAAGGUUAACCGUAUAGGGGAGCCGAAGGGAAACCGAGUCUUAAUUGGGCGUUAAGUUGCAGGGUAUAGACCCGAAACCCGGUGAUCUAGCCAUGGGCAGGUUGAAGGUUGGGUAACACUAACUGGAGGACCGAACCGACUAAUGUUGAAAAAUUAGCGGAUGACCUGUGGCUGGGGGUGAAAGGCCAAUCAAACCGGGAGAUAGCUGGUUCUCCCCGAAAGCUAUUUAGGUAGCGCCUCGUGAACUCAUCUCCGGGGGUAGAGCACUGUUUCGGCUAGGGGGCCAUCCCGGCUUACCAACCCGAUGCAAACUGCGAAUACCGGAGAAUGUUAUCACGGGAGACACACGGCGGGUGCUAACGUCCGUCGUGAAGAGGGAAACAACCCAGACCGCCAGCUAAGGUCCCAAAGUCAUGGUUAAGUGGGAAACGAUGUGGGAAGGCCCAGACAGCCAGGAUGUUGGCUUAGAAGCAGCCAUCAUUUAAAGAAAGCGUAAUAGCUCACUGGUCGAGUCGGCCUGCGCGGAAGAUGUAACGGGGCUAAACCAUGCACCGAAGCUGCGGCAGCGACACUCUGUGUUGUUGGGUAGGGGAGCGUUCUGUAAGCCGUCGAAGGUGUGCUGUGAGGCAUGCUGGAGGUAUCAGAAGUGCGAAUGCUGACAUAAGUAACGAUAAAGCGGGUGAAAAGCCCGCUCGCCGGAAGACCAAGGGUUCCUGUCCAACGUUAAUCGGGGCAGGGUGAGUCGACCCCUAAGGCGAGGCCGAAAGGCGUAGUCGAUGGGAAACAGGUUAAUAUUCCUGUACUUGGUGUUACUGCGAAGGGGGGACGGAGAAGGCUAUGUUAGCCGGGCGACGGUUGUCCCGGUUUAAGCGUGUAGGCUGACUUUCCAGGCAAAUCCGGAAAGUUAAGGCUGAGGCGUGAUGACGAGGCACUACGGUGCUGAAGUAACAAAUGCCCUGCUUCCAGGAAAAGCCUCUAAGCAUCAGGUAACAUCAAAUCGUACCCCAAACCGACACAGGUGGUCAGGUAGAGAAUACCAAGGCGCUUGAGAGAACUCGGGUGAAGGAACUAGGCAAAAUGGUGCCGUAACUUCGGGAGAAGGCACGCUGACAUGUAGGUGAAGCCCCUGCGGGUGGAGCUGAAGUCAGUCGAAGAUACCAGCUGGCUGCAACUGUUUAUUAAAAACACAGCACUGUGCAAACACGAAAGUGGACGUAUACGGUGUGACGCCUGCCCGGUGCCGGAAGGUUAAUUGAUGGGGUUAUCGCAAGAGAAGCUCCUGAUCGAAGCCCCGGUAAACGGCGGCCGUAACUAUAACGGUCCUAAGGUAGCGAAAUUCCUUGUCGGGUAAGUUCCGACCUGCACGAAUGGCGUAAUGAUGGCCAGGCUGUCUCCACCCGAGACUCAGUGAAAUUGAACUCGCUGUGAAGAUGCAGUGUACCCGCGGCAAGACGGAAAGACCCCGUGAACCUUUACUACAGCUUGACACUGAACAUUGAGCCUUGAUGUGUAGGAUAGGUGGGAGGCUUUGAAGCGUGGACGCCAGUCUGCGUGGAGCCAACCUUGAAAUACCACCCUUUAAUGUUU